rnacentral:rRNA from 1 species
GACGAACGCUGGCGGCGUGCUUAACACAUGCAAGUCGAACGGAAAGGCCCUGCUUUUGUGGGGUGCUCGAGUGGCGAACGGGUGAGUAACACGUGAGUAACCUGCCCUUGACUUUGGGAUAACUUCAGGAAACUGGGGCUAAUACCGGAUAGGAGCUCCUGCUGCAUGGUGGGGGUUGGAAAGUUUCGGCGGUUGGGGAUGGACUCGCGGCUUAUCAGCUUGUUGGUGGGGUAGUGGCUUACCAAGGCUUUGACGGGUAGCCGGCCUGAGAGGGUGACCGGCCACAUUGGGGCUGAGAUACGGCGCAGACUCCUACGGGCAGCAGCAGUGGGGAAUAUUGAACAAUGGGCGGAAGCAUGAUGCAGCAACGCCGCGUGCGGGAUGACGGCCUUCGGGUUGUAAACCGCUUUCGCCUGUGACGAAGCGUGAGUGACGGUAAUGGGUAAAGAAGCACCGGCUAACUAC